UUUGAGAACACCUAAAGAGAAAAGUCUGCAAGCUUCCACAUGGGCGAUAUACAGGUAACCAUGAAGGAUUAGAGAUGAAUGGUACUGGGGCUGCUGUUUGUUUGAGAUAAUGUCUCCUGGAAUACAGGCUGGCAUCAAACACACAUUUUAGCUGAGGGUGACUUUGAUCUUCUGAUCCCUUUGCCUCUACCUCCCCACGUGCUGGGAGGUAGAUAGCAGAGCAUCUAAGUUGUUUUUUUUUUUUUUAAAUGUUUUUAAAAGAUGUAUUAUAUAUUAUGUAUUUAUGUGUUCUGCCUCCAUUAUGUGUACCAUGCAUGCCUCCUGCCCUCAGAGAUCAGAAGAGGUAGUCAGACCCCUAGAACUGGAGUUAAAGAUGGGGGGCAACCACCAUGUAAAUGCUGGGAACUGAGCCUGGGCACUCUACAAGAGCAGCAAAUACUUUGAACUGCUGAGCCUUCUCUUUAGUUCUCUUUAGUUUAGUUACUGAACCAGACUUGAGGAUUGAGUGUGAGGAAGUGUUGAUUGUAUAAUGCAAGGAAUAUAAAAGACGCCGGGCGUGGUGGCACAUGCCUUUAAUCCCAGCACUUGGGAGGCAGAGGCUGGUGGAUUUCUGAGUUCAAGGCCAGCCUGGUCUACAAAGUGAGUGAGUUGCAGGACAGCCACAGCUAUACAGAGAAACCCAGUCUCAAAAAACCAAAAAAAAAAAAAAAAAAAAAGACAUCUCCCAUGCCCCUUUUUCUCAGAAAUCUACUGGAGAAAAGAACCCAUUAAGAGAAGCCAAGAUAGGAGGAACAGAGACAAGGAAACUGCUUAGUGUGGGAUACAGAUGGGGAUCCUGGGAAACAUCAAAGGGGAAUUCUGUGACCAUAACUGUGCAUUGGGUUCAGAUCUAACUGUCCACAUUGGAGCCUUAGAGCUGGCUACCAGGCUAUAGUUUUAGGAAGAAAGAGUUCUAUAAUUCUAGCACUCAUGGAUUUGAGGUGUAAGAAGAUAACAAAUUUGAAGCUAGUCUUAGCUAAUAGCAAGUUCUCAGGCUAGUUUAAGCUAUAUGGGGAAAAUCCUGUCUCAAAAACAAAACAAGACAAUUCAAAAGAAAGCCAAA
rnacentral:lncRNA from 1 species